rnacentral:rRNA from 1 species
GACUAUACAGAAGUGAGAAUGCCGGAAUAAGUAGCGAGAAUUAAGUGAGAAUCUUAAUGGCCGAAAGUCUAAGGUUUUUGGAGGAAGGUUCGUCCGCUCCAAGUUAGGCGGGAGCUAAGGUGAGGCCGAAAGGCGUAGCCGAUGCACAGACGGUAGAGAUUCCGUCCCCACCGAAAGAUUUAAGCACAGGGACACAUAUGAAG